GAUGAACGCUGGCGGCGUGCCUAAUACAUGCAAGUCGAGCGAACGGACGAGAAGCUUGCUUCUCUGAUGUUAGCGGCGGACGGGUGAGUAACACGUGGAUAACCUACCUAUAAGACUGGGAUAACUUCGGGAAACCGGAGCUAAUACCGGAUGAUAUUUUGAACCGCAUGGUUCAAAAGUGAAAGACGGUCUUGCUGUCACUUAUAGAUGGAUCCGCGCUGCAUUAGCUAGUUGGUAAGGUAACGGCUUACCAAGGCAACGAUGCAUAGCCGACCUGACAGGGUGGUCGGCCACACGGGAACUGAGACACGGUCCAGACUCCUACGGGAGGCAGCAGUAGGGAAUCUUCCGCAAUGGGCGAAAGCCUGACGGAGCAACGCCGCGUGAGUGAUGAAGGUGUUCGGAUCGUAAAACUCUGUUAUUAGGGAAGAACAUAUGUGUAAGUAACUGUGCACAUCUUGACGGUACCUAAUCAGAAAGCCACGGCUAACUACGUG
rnacentral:rRNA from 1 species